rnacentral:rRNA from 1 species
CCCUUUGAUACUCUGGGCGGCACGCGCGCUACACUGGUUUAUAUAACGUGUAAUUUGGACGAUAGUCUGUAUAAAUCACUAAUAUAAAACCGUGAAUGGGAUAGUUUAUUGCAACUUACAAACUUUAACUAGGAAUCCCUUGUAGAAGUAGUGAAUUAUACUGCUUCGAAUACGUCCCUGCCGAUUGCACACACCGCCCGUCGUUUCUUCCGACUGGUACUCAUUGUGAAUUGCGAGGAGAUUCUGUCAAAUCGUUGUAAAUGCUGGGUAUUGGAGGAAGAAAAAGUCGUAACA